UACGAAGGGGGCUAGCGUUGUUCGGAAUCACUGGGCGUAAAGCGCACGUAGGCGGAUUGUUAAGUCGGGGGUGAAAUCCUGAGGCUCAACCUCAGAACUGCCUCCGAUACUGGCAAUCUCGAGUUCGGAAGAGGUUGGUGGAACAGCUAGUGUAGAGGUGAAAUUCGUAGAUAUUAGCUAGAACACCAGUGGCGAAGGCGGCUC
rnacentral:rRNA from 1 species